rnacentral:rRNA from 1 species
AUUGAACGCUGGCGGCAGGCCUAACACAUGCAAGUCGAACGAGUGGCGGACGGGUGAGUAAUGUCUGGGAAACUGCCUGAUGGAGGGGGAUAAAUACUGGAAACGGUAGCUAAUACCGCAUACCAUCGGAUGUGCCCAGGUGGGAUUAGCUAGUAGGAGGGGUAAAGGCUCACCUAGGCGACGAUCCCUAGCUGGCCGGAGAGGAUGACCAUCCCCACUGGAACUGAGACACGGUUCAGACACCUACGAGAGGCAGGUGUGGGGAAUAUUGCAAAAUGGGCGCAAGCCUGAUGCAGCCAUGCCGCGUGUAUGAAGAAGGCCUUCGGGUUGUAGAGUACUUUCAGCGGGGAGGCGUUACCCGCAGAAGAAGCACCGGCUAACUCCGUGCCAGCAGCCGCGGUAAUUC